GUCCCGUACGUGCGCAGGCUGUAUUUGGAAACAUAGCUAGUAACUCUUCUCUACAAAUUUCUUUUGGUUUGGCUCACCCGGAUGGAGAUAUUGAGUCAUUAUAAUAUAAAUAAUAGUCGCAUGAUCAUUCCAACAAACAUAACUUCUCGAUCACCAUGCACUCCUGUCGUGCUCAUGCCUGAUAUCCAUGUUACCAUGUAACUUACAUACGCAUGCAUCGUUCAAGGACUUGAUAGAUGGAUUGUAAUAUAUAUCUCAAAUCCAUAUUGAGUUUUUAACCAAUUGAUUUUUUUUUUAACUCAAAUGUUUGUAGUUCUCACCAGAGAGGAGGGGAGAAGCCUACUUGCUAAGAGCAUCGAAGACUCUGGAUAUUCUCCUGAUUAGUCUCUCUUAAAGUUACGUAUGCCAUAGAAUUUAUAUGAUCCAUCUAUGGGAAUAUUAUUACAUCAACAAUAAAAAAUAAUGCUACGUAUCUUGAUAUAGAAAAGAAUAACAAUAUAUAAUGCUACGACUUUAGGAAUAUCAAAUACAAUUAUAUAUAUAUAUUCAUUUGUUUUUUUGGUUA
rnacentral:lncRNA from 1 species